rnacentral:rRNA from 1 species
AACGAACGCUGGCGGCAGGCUUAACACAUGCAAGUCGAGCGCCCCGCAAGGGGAGCGGCAGACGGGUGAGUAACGCGUGGGAACGUACAUUUUGGUUCGGAACAACUUCGGGAAACUGGAGCUAAUACCGGAUAAGCCCUAACGGGGAAAGAUUUAUCGCCGAAAGAUCGGCCCGCGUCUGAUUAGCUAGUUGGUGAGGUAACGGCUCACCAAGGCGACGAUCAGUAGCUGGUCUGAGAGGAUGAUCAGCCACACUGGGACUGAGACACGGCCCAGACUCCUACGGGAGGCAGCAGUGGGGAAUAUUGGACAAUGGGCGCAAGCCUGAUCCAGCCAUGCCGCGUGAGUGAUGAAGGCCUUAGGGUUGUAAAGCUCUUUUGUCCGGGAAGAUAAUGACUGUACCGGAAGAAUAAGCCCCGGCUAACUUCGUG